rnacentral:misc_RNA from 1 species
GCAAACUUGGUCAUUUAGAGGAAGUAAAAGUCGUAACAAGGUCUCCGUUGGUGAACCAGCGGAGGGAUCAUUACAAGUAGAGUUUACGAACUCUUAAACCCUUUGUGAACCUUACCUAUCGUCAGUUGCUUCGGCGGGAGGCCCCUGGGAGGGGCCCCGGGGCCCGGCCUGAGCCGGGCUCCCGCCGGAGGAGCGCAAACCAAACUCUUGCUGUACCUCAGUGGAACAUCCGAGUUAAAAUAAAAAACAAGUUAAAACUUUCAACAACGGAUCUCUUGGUUCUGGCAUCGAUGAAGAACGCAGC